CAGCCGCCACGGGAAUACGAAGGGUGCAAGCGUUACUUGGAAUUACUGGGCGUAAAGCGUGCGUAGGUGGUGGUUUAAGUCCGUUGUGAAAGCCCUGGGCUCAACCUGGGAAUUGCAGUGGAUACUGGGUCACUAGAGUGUGGUAGAGGAUAGUGGAAUUUCCGGUGUAGCAGUGAAAUGCGUAGAGAUCGGAAGGAACAUCUGUGGCGAAGGCGACUAUCUGGGCCAACACUGACACUGAGGCACGAAAGCGUGGGGAGCAAACAGGAUUAGAUACCCGUGUAGUCCCUGUCUCUUAUAC
rnacentral:rRNA from 1 species